GAGGGUAUAGCUCAGUGAUAGAGUACAUGCCUAGCAUGCAUGAGGUCCUGGGUUCAAUCCUCAGUACCUCCC
rnacentral:tRNA from 1 species